CAAAUUACAGCAAAGAGCUAUUUAUUAUUUACAUUAAUAAUUUUAUUGUGCAAUUCAAUAUAAUUUGA
rnacentral:tRNA from 2 species